rnacentral:tRNA from 1 species
GGGGAUAUAGUUCAAUUGGCAAAAGUGCUUGCCUUGCAUGCACAAGGCCCUGGGUUCAAUCCCCAGCACCCUCC